UACGAAGGGGGCUAGCGUUGUUCGGAAUCACUGGGCGUAAAGGGCGCGUAGGCGGCUUUAUAAGUCGGGGGUGAAAGCCUGUGGCUCAACCACAGAAUUGCCUUCGAUACUGUAGAGCUUGAGACCAGAAGAGGUAAGUGGAACUGCGAGUGUAGAGGUGAAAUUCGUAGAUAUUCGCAAGAACACCAGUGGCGAAGGCGGCUUACUGGUCCGGUUCUGACGCUGAGGCGCGAAAGCGUGGGGAGCAAACAGG
rnacentral:rRNA from 1 species